AUGAUGGCAUAUGAAAGAGGUGAAGAUGAAGAAGAAAAGAAUUAUGGAAGUUCAUUUGCUACUGGUGGAAUGGAUUUUGGUGACAAGGUUCAAAAUUUCUAUGAAGGUACGUAUGAAGGCAAGUUGAAGGAUAUUGGAAUUUAUUUAAGCACAAUGAAAAAACAAGAAGGGUGGAUGGACAAAACCUUCAAAGAUAUUAGACAUCAAUCC
rnacentral:lncRNA from 1 species